AUGAAGAAAAUAAUGCUGCAUUCCUGGUAAACAAAACAUGGGACUACAGAAUAACUCCAUGACUAGAGGGCCAAGAUGCUAUUCGCCAUGUCAGUCCUCAGGGAUGUGCAUGGUAUAUAUGGGCCUAUGACUUCGUCAAAUUCGGAAGUCACUUUCAGGACAUUAGUUCUGACGGUGGUCCAGCCAUGGAAACAACUCAUGCAUGCGUAAGGUACACAUCACUACAUCAGUUUCCCCAUAGAUUACUAGUGCACACCUCUUAGUGGCAUCAUUUUCUACAAUAUGGACCUUUGUGUUCCAUACGUUGUCAAGAAAACUACUUGAAAUAUGCAGUUAUGAAAUGAUAGAAGCACUCUAUGGUCCGGGAGCAGUUCGGCAAUCCGGCCGCGCUGUCGGGCUGGCGGCCCGGCGGCCCGGUCUGCGCCCCACAGGUGGCCUACAACGAGCAGGGCCGCAUGAGCAAGAUCUUCCUCCGGAGCCUCGACGUAACUUCCGAUCUCAUGUUCGUGCCCUCAUCAGUUCUCAAUUUCUCAUGGUGAGCUCAUCCAUGGAGCAAUCAGCUAUCUGCAACAUUAUAUGAGCAUUCAUCUGCAUCACAAAUCAUCAGCGCGGACAUCACUGAUAUUUUACAGACAUUUAAUCGUAGAAAAUUAUUCUCAUAUUAAUAGACAGUACAUGUAAAGCAGAUGAUGGAAAAAAACGCCGUUGAAGCCUGAGUUCAAACU